GCGCCAGUGGUUUGGUGGUAAAAUCCAUCGUUGCCUUUCAUAUCCGGGUCUCAGUGACUCGACAUGACUUCCUCGAUGGGCCCCGCGUUCGAUUCGCGGCUGGCGCA